rnacentral:rRNA from 1 species
UACGGGGGGCGCAAGCGUUGUUCGGAAUCACUGGGCGUAAAGGGCGUCUAGGCGGUUUGGUAAGUGGGAUGUGAAAUCCCCGGGCUCACCCCGGGACCUGCAUCCCAAACUGCUGAGCUUGAGUACAGGAGAGGGUGGGGGAAUUCCAGGUGUAGCGGUGAAAUGCGUAGAUAUCUGGAGGAACACCGGUGGCGAAGGCGCCCACCUGGCCUGCUACUGACGCUGAAGCUCGAAAGCUAGGGGAGCAAACGGG